UCAAAGCACGGUAAUCAACAAGAGCUCGACUGACUAAAUGAUGUGCCAAAUUGAACAAGGCCUGGCGCUGGAGCUAGGGCACCUUAGGGCGGAACGGGCGGAGGGGUUUGGCUGCUGCCAUGUGUCAAAAAGUAUGCAAUAAACUGUCAAAAUGCCACACGGCAAAUGACAAGAAAAUUGUUGGUAUUUUCUGAUGAUUUCCUUUUCUUGUCGUCGUUUUUUUUUUUUUUUGCGGAAACAUUUAAUUUUGGGCCUCAACUGCGGUGGACCAGUUGGCUUUUUAUCGUAUGGCAUAAUAGCAGUUGGUUGUUGCGGGCUGCAGGAAAUGUGCCCGAGUGUGUCCUGUCCGAGCGGAUGUGAAAGGUACGGCUGAAUGCAGUGUAGGUACAGUGGUCGCUCGCCUUGGCGAACCCAAUAUUAAAUUGAACAAAAUUUGAAUUUGAAAAUAAAGUAAAGUAAAAUGUAAAGAAAUAUUUCUAAGUGCGAAUUGUAGGUAAAUUAAAAAAAAAGUAUUACAUUGAUUCGAUUCGAAAUUGCAAAAGA